CCUACGGGAGGCAGCAGUAAGGAAUAUUGGUCAAUGGAGGCAACUCUGAACCAGCCAUGCCGCGUGCAGGAAGAAGGCCCUAUGGGUCGUAAACUGCUUUUGUACCAGAGAAAACCCGAGUACGUGUACUCGGUUGAUAGUAUGGUAAGAAUAAGCAUCGGCUAACUUCGUGCCAGCAGCCGCGGUAAGACGAAGGAUGCAAGCGUUAUCCGGAUUCAUUGGGUUUAAAGGGUGCGUAGGCGGACUGAUAAGUCAGUGGUGAAAUCUCUCAGCUUAACUGAGAAACUGCCAUUGAUACUGUUAGUCUAGAGUAUAGAUGACGUUGGCGGAAUAUGACAUGUAGUGGUGAAAUACUUAGAUAUGUCAUAGAACACCGAUUGCGAAGGCAGCUAACGAAACUAUAACUGACGCUGAGGCACGAAAGUGCGGGGAUCAAACAGGAUUAGAUACCCUGGUAGUCCGCACCGUAAACGAUGAUUACUCGUUGUUGGCAAUAUGACCGUCAGCGACCAAGCGAAAGCGAUAAGAAUCCACCUGGGGAGUACGCCGGCAACGGUGAAACUUAAAUGAAUUGACCGGNUUGAGAGNGCGAGGACGACACGAGGGAGGAG
rnacentral:rRNA from 1 species